AUGACGCUGUGGAGAACGACCACGUGGAGGUUGUCCGUUUUCUGUUGGCCUGCGGCGCCGACCCCACCCUCACUUCUUACUCCGGACGAGGACCCCUCAACAUGACCCAUAGCGCUACCAUGGAAACGUUCCUGGAGGACUAUCUCUCCGACCUCCAGGGGCGGUCGGAGGGCGAUCCAGGGAUCUACUGGGAGUUUUACGGCAGCUCAGUGUGCGAACCGUCUACAAAGAGCCCAGUGGUCAACGUCCUCGCUGACCCUCCAGGGCCGGAUCAGGAAGGGGACGAUGAAGAGGAGGGCGAGGACGAAGACGAGCGUGUCAAG